rnacentral:tRNA from 2 species
AGGAGUGUAGCUCAACUGGUAGAGCGCCGGUCUCCAAAACCGGAGGUUGGGGGUUCGAUCCCCUCCACUCCUGCCA